UUAAAUCCAAAAGAUCAAAGUCAUCGCUUCCCCCAAAUAUUUUGGUUCCACCACACCCAAAUUAACUUCCCUCCCCCUAAUUCUAACCCGCUCAUUUCUCCCAAACCUAAUCGAUUCUCGGUGUUUGCUCUACCUUUCUCCCCUAAAUCAAUCAUCGCUCAACGAUCUAUGGAUCUGCAGUUCCGGUGAAAUCGUCCUUUUGGCCCUUUAUUCUCAUCGUUCGUAAAGAUUUUUUGAUAUUGUGGUGGAGGAAUUCAACAAAACAAAGAAAGAUUGGGACGAAGCCUAUCUUCAAACCCUAGCCCACAUUAAGUUCAAGUUGUUAUCUUUGUUGCCACUAUCUUUUUGAACUUGCUAGGCUUUUAACUAUGUAGUUAAAACCUUUUGUUUAGACUAUACGGAGUGGGAGGGGAUGAGGAGGGGGCAUUAAGCACCAUGUGGCAGCCACGUCGCAUAGCAAGAGGGCGUGGUAAAAAAAAGCACGGAGUGUGAGGGGCGUGAAAGUUGUGUUUUUAAAACAAAAAAAAAUCAACCAAUUGAAACAAAUCCAAACAACACCCACCAAUCAUAGGUCAUCAAAAUACGACUCGAUAAAUUAUAAGUUACCAGAACGGACAUUAGGUCUAUAGCAUCGCGACAUUCAGAUUAGCAAGGCACUCCUCAAGGAGAUUUUGGCAGCCAAGAGAAGAAACAAAUCAGUGAAAGGUUUGGGGCUUGAAAACCUGAACAAACACGCUCCUAUUAUCCCUUCUCACCUCACAAGUUCCACUCUUUGGACAGCUUAGUUUCAGGCUGACAUCUUCUGCCUACAGGAGAGAGAUUGGGGAAAGCAUGGAACAUGUAUUUACAAUGGUCGGAGAUGAAGCUUUCCUCAAAAGCAUUCUAAACUCUACCGAGACUGUAGCAAGAGGAAGGUUUUAAAGCUUGGACCCAAAUGAUCUAGUUGGUGGUACAGAGAUUGGACCAGAACGGUGUGAGGUAAACGUUCAAGUACCAAUAAAAAACAUGAAAACUUGGUAAGACCAUGUGGUUUAUUUUCUACAAUUCAAGAUUGUAUUGGUGCAUCCAUCGCAUGCCCCCUAUUCAUUCAUCUAGGUAGUCCAUGAGGAUUGAGGACGCAUGAUGACUCAAGAUUUUAUGCUUCUUAUUUCUUAAAUUGCUUUUAAU
rnacentral:lncRNA from 1 species